rnacentral:tRNA from 1 species
GCCUGACUAGCUCAGUCAGUAGUAGAGCAUGAGACCUUUGAUCUCGGGGUUGUGAGUUCAAGCCCCAUGUUGGGUA